rnacentral:sRNA from 1 species
AAAAAGCUUUGCGUUAAGGAUGGAGUGGCUUGUUUGAGCUCUUUUUUGUUGUUUUUCGCAACUAAAAAAGCGAGUAACGACAGCCUGACCCAAA